rnacentral:rRNA from 1 species
UACGAGGGGGCUAGCGUUGCUCGGAAUCACUGGGCGGAAAGCGCACGUAGGCGGAUUGCUAAGUCAGGGGUGAAAUCCUGGAGCUCAACUCCAGAACUGCCUUUGAUACUGGCGAUCUUGAGUCCGGGAGAGGUGAGUGGAACUGCGAGUGUAGAGGUGAAAUUCGUAGAUAUUCGCAAGAACACCAGUGGCGAAGGCGGCUCACUGGCCCGGUACUGACGCUGAGGUGCGAAAGCGUGGGGAGCAAACAGG